UUUGCUUAAAAUAAAAGGUCCAGCCUGCCCAGUGACACUGUUCAACGGCCGCGGUAUCCUAACCGUGCGAAGGUAGCGUAAUCACUUGUUCUUUAAAUGAGGACUAGUAUGAAAGGCACCACGAGAGUCAUACUGUCUCCUCUCUCCAAUCAGUUAAACUAAUCUCCCCGUGAAGAAGCGGGGAUAACUUUAUAAGACGAGAAGACCCUAUGGAGCUUUAAACGAAUAACACUUGCCCCCCUCUCCUUUCAAUUUCAGAAAAAUCUAUUACCUUGGCAUCAUACUUAUAAGUUUUUGAUUGGGGUGAUCACGGAACAAAAAAUAACCUCCGCAAUGAAAGACUCUCCACAACUAAGUCAAGAACCACAACUCUACACAUCAACAAAUUGACACAAUUGACCCAAUUUAUUGAUCAAUGAAC
rnacentral:rRNA from 1 species